rnacentral:rRNA from 1 species
AGAGUUUGAUCAUGGCUCAGAUUGAACGCUGGCGGCAGGCCUAACACAUGCAAGUCGAACGGUAGCACAGAGAGCUUGCUCUCGGGUGACGAGUGGCGGACGGGUGAGUAAUGUCUGGGAAACUGCCUGAUGGAGGGGGAUAACUACUGGAAACGGUAGCUAAUACCGCAUAACGUCGCAAGACCAAAGAGGGGGACCUUCGGGCCUCUUGCCAUCAGAUGUGCCCAGAUGGGAUUAGCUAGUAGGUGGGGUAACGGCUCACCUAGGCGACGAUCCCUAGCUGGUCUGAGAGGAUGACCAGCCACACUGGAACUGAGACACGGUCCAGACUCCUACGGGAAGCAGCAGUGGGGAAUAUUGCACAAUGGGCGCAAGCCUGAUGCAGCCAUGCCGCGUGUAUGAAGAAGGCCUUCGGGUUGUAAAGUACUUUCAGCGGGGAGGAGGGUGUUGUGGUUAAUAACCACAGCAAUUGACGUUACCCGCAGAAGAAGCACCGGCUAACUCCGUGCCAGCAGCCGCGGUAAUACGGAGGGUGCAAGCGUUAAUCGGAAUUACUGGGCGUAAAGCGCACGCAGGCGGUCUGUCAAGUCGGAUGUGAAAUCCCCGGGCUCAACCUGGGAACUGCAUUCGAAACUGGCAGGCUGGAGUCUUGUAGAGGGGGGUAGAAUUCCAGGUGUAGCGGUGAAAUGCGUAGAGAUCUGGAGGAAUACCGGUGGCGAAGGCGGCCCCCUGGACAAGGACUGACGCUCA